rnacentral:lncRNA from 1 species
CUCUCAGUCUCACCCAUUGUCCCUUUCCCUCUACUAACCCACCCACCUUUCAAGCCUCUUGAUUUUGUCUCCCAAAACCAUGGGUCUUAUUCUUCCCAAUCAAAAAUCUCAGUUAAAUGCAUUAAAAAAAGGUUUUGAUCUUAAUUUUUUUUUCUACUUUAACAAGUUUUUAGAUCCACAAAAUUAAGGGUCUCGAAAGGUGGGUGAAAG